rnacentral:rRNA from 1 species
CCUACGGGAGGCAGCAGUAGGGAAUCUUCCACAAUGGGCGAAAGCCUGAUGGAGCAACGCCGCGUGGGUGAAGAAGGUCUUCGGAUCGUAAAACUCUGUUGUCAGAGAAGAAAGUGCGUGAGAGUAACUGUUCACGUUUCGACGGUAUCUAACCAGAAAGCCACGGCUAACUACGUGCCAGCAGCCGCGGUAAUACGUAGGUGGGAAGCGUUAUCCGGAUUUAUUGGGCGUAAAGGGAACGCAGGCGGUCUUUUAAGUCUGAUGUGAAAGCCUUCGGCUUAACCGGAGUAGUGCAUUGGAAACUGGGAGACUUGAGUGCAGAAGAGGAGAGUGGAACUCCAUGUGUAGCGGUGAAAUGCGUAGAUAUAUGGAAGAACACCAGUGGCGAAGGCGGCUCUCUGGUCUGUAACUGACGCUGAGGUUCGAAAGCGUGGGUAGCAAACAGGAUUAGAUACCCUUGUAGUC